UCGUAAUCACUGUUCUUUGGAUUGGCUCCAGCUCGGAUUAAGCCAGUCAACUGAUGAAGGUCACCAUAAAAAGCGGCAUUAUUUACUCUUAAGUCGGGAGAUAGCACGUCAAGAAAAAAGAUGCAUUAUCUAUGAAUACUGGAAUUAGAUGAAAUAAUUAAUGGCAUGUUGGUUGUUUCUACUGUUUACCUCGGGCCUCCGCAACAGCUUAAAUAUUCCUCAAGAGACUUACUAUGACAACACCCAAGAUUAGCGGCUGCCAGCUGGUUAAUACUUAUGGCGCUUCAAGCCAGCAAUCUAAAUUAUCAAGCACCCAAAUCAAAUUUGGAGUGCAGAGCGACAUCAUAAAAAACACUCUGAACUGCAGUAGCCAUACACCUGGUUGGCGUUGUGGAGGCAAGUUACUGGUGUCGCUUAUUAGUUUAAGUUUAGUUGACAUAUCAUGGUAAGCAGAUGCCUUCUACCAUUAUAAUAUCGUAUUGCUGCGUAACAGCUACAUUAGCAUGCAGGCUGUUCAAUCACAUGUUGCUGUCAUCUGUUCUUCAUGCAACAUGUUACAAAGAACAUCUCAGGUUGAACGGCAUAUAAAAACAUGUUGAUGCUUGCUAAAGAUUUAAAAAAAAAGGGGAAUGAUGAAGGACGUGGCGAUUUCUGAUAUACUCCCUCCGUUCUUAAAUAUAAGUCUUUUAAGCGAUUUCACUAGAUGUCUAUAU